CCAGCAGCUCCAAACUCUCUUCAGCGAUCUGCUAGACCAAUAGACACCUCUGCAGUGGACAAAGCCCUUCAGCUGGCAGCGCUGUCCAGGAGACAAGCACAGCUUCAAUGCGUCCAGGUGUUUUCUCAAAGCCUGGGAAGGUGAAAGUUGGCCAGUGUUUGUGUUGGUAGCUGGAUGUUCCUCAUGGGUAUCAGCAAGAUUGCAGAAAGGGUUGGACAAUAUUUUCCUAAUUAUGAUGUGAAUACCAGAGUCAGAUUCUGAUGCCUUUUUACCUCUCAGCUUCUGAUGCUGUAAAUGAUCCCCUU